AACUUUUUAGCUAGAGUAUGAUAGAGGAAAGCAGAAUUUCUAGUGUAGAGGUGAAAUUCGUAGAUAUUAGAAAGAAUACCAAUUGCGAAGGCAGCUUUCUGGAUCAUUACUGACACUGAGGAACGAAAGCAUGGGUAGCGAAGAGGAUUAGAUACCCUCGUAGUCCAUGCCGUAAACGAUGUGUGUUAGACGUUGGAAAUUUAUUUUCUGUGUCGCAGCGAAAGCAAUAAACACACCGCCUGGGGAGUACGACCGCAAGGUUAAAACUCAAAUGAAUUGACGGGGACCCGCACAAGUAGUGGAGCAUGUGGUUUAAUUCGAAGAUACGCGCAGAACCUUACCAACACUUGACAUGUUCGUCGCGACUUUAAGAGAUUAAAGUUUUCGGUUCGGCCGGACGAAACACAGGUGCUGCAUGGCUGUCGUCAGCUCGUGUCGUGAGAUGUUGGGUUAAGUCCCGCAACGAGCGCAACCCUCACUUUUAGUUGCCAUCAUUUAGUUGGGCACUCUGAAAGAACUGCCAGUGAUAAGCUGGAGGAAGGUGGGGAUGACGUCAAGUCCUCAUGGCCCUUACGUGUUGGGCUACACACGUGCUACAAUGGCAUUUACAAUAGGAAGCAAGACGGCGACGUUAAGCAAAUCCUAAAAAAAUGCCUCAGUUCGGAUUGUACUCUGCAACUCGAGUACAUGAAGCUGGAAUUACUAGUAAUCGCGGAUCAGCGCGCCGCGGUGAAUACGUUCCCGGGUCUUGUACACACCGCCCGUCACACCAUGGGAGUUGGUUCUACCUU
rnacentral:rRNA from 1 species